UGUAGAAUAAUUUGACCCAUAAACAGCUAGCCCCUUCUCCUUUCUUCAAAACAUAACCCUUAAUCCAAAUCCACGUGAAAGACACACACAGAGGGGAGAAGAGAUGGGAGACAGACGGAGAAGUCUCGGUUUCGACACGGUGGCCGCGCCGAUCAUGGCUCUCCGGUGUCGACAUCACAGCCGGGUCCGCCGUACAUGGUGGUGGGGUUAUGUCGGUUCUCCGGCGUCGGCGGUGGUUCCAGGGUUUCCGGUCACCGCAACGGCGGCCAGCAGCUGUAAGUGGUUGCUAGGUUGUCGGUUGCUGUUUCUGUCGACAUCAGCAGAACUCGAUGACUUCAAGAAGCUCCGGCGAAACACCUAGGGUUCAGGUCCUAUUCCGGCGAAGUUCCAUCAAGAAGGAUUAAACCCCUCUACUUUCCGAUUAUACAACCCGAACCAGGUGUCUGUUGCUUCAAUCUUUAUGUUUCAACCAUGUUGGUGGGUAACAGCUAAAUCUUCGUAGCUAAGGCAUGAAUUUGAUAACCUUCUUAUCUGCGCCCCUCUGGCCUUUGAGCCUUUUAAAAAGAUAAACUUUAUGUUAGGGUUUUUGUUCUAUCUGCCAGAUAUUACAUAGGGUGUAUAAUCGCUUAUGGUUUUGGAUUAUGAUGUCUGUAGUAGCCAAUUGAACUCACAUUUUGAUGAUAAGUGUUACUUUAGUUUAUUUUCUAAGUUGUUUGUCACCAAAAUUUUUGUGUUCAGAGAUGAUACAAGCAUUUAUUUUUAUCGGUUAGGGUACGGCAUUUGUGGAAUAAUGCUGGAAAAUAAUCAUGCGCUCAUUAUUAUGAUGAUGCUGGUCUUUGAUAUAGUGGAAUUGAUGGGUUUCACACUUUUAAUUAGGUUAUGACAUAAAAUCGGUUAACUUCUUUGUUUCUUAAUCAUUUCCACUAUGAAUAGUGUUUUUUUGCCACGUGGCAAUACCUUAUUGGUUGCAUUCUUCCCUUUUACCCGAUGUUGUUAUUGUAUAAAUAGGUUUCGUUAUGGUACUUGAUGUGUUUGGGGCUUUGGCUUAGUGAUUUGUUGGUUUUGUGGUGAUAACUUUGACGUUGGUUCGAAUCUUCACAGCCACCUUUUUCUCUACGUUGCUUCUUCCGCUUUUGAAAGCAUAAUGACCGCCAUCUACCCUUUUUGGGAGUCGCUGGAGGUAACAUCGCUCAAGUCAACAAACUCAGGUCGCCAAUUGGCUUCUUUCCGAUUUAACCACCACCCUCAUCAGAUGAACUGAUCAAGGCUUGCAUGUCUCAGAUCUGUGUAGAUCGGUAGCCACCCUCGACAACUUAGAACUACGCAUCAAAGAAAUUAAAGGACUUCCAUGCUGCCUAAUCCAAGGAAAACGGCUUCGCGCGAUUCUUUAUCCGGAGAAGACCCAACACCUUGACUUCAUCAAUAACACAAGCGUGAAUCCCCUUCUUUUUAUUGAAGAUAGCAUUUUUCCUGGCUCUCCAAAUAGCCCAGCAAGUAAUUAUCAUACCUAAAUGCACCAAUAUGUAUAGUUCAGUUUUACUUUGUAUUUUUAUAGAACCCAUCUGUAUAGUUCGGUUUUACUUUGUAAAUUAAACAUUGCUAUGGUUGUGAGAAAUAAAACUGACUCUCUUGCGCAACGCGCGUUGGCAAUAA